rnacentral:tRNA from 2 species
UCUUCGGUAGCUCAGUGGUAGAGCGGUCGGUUGUUAACUGACUAGUCGUAGGUUCAAAUCCCACUUGGGGAG